GUAGGUGAACCUGCGGAAGGAUCAUUAACACAUCCGUUUCCAUUUAUCAACAUUGGCGAACUGUGCAACCUUUCAGAGAGAAGGCCGGAUAGGCAAUGGUUUGGGUCGCUUCGGCGACUGGCCUCCCGGCUACGCGUCCAUAGAAUCCUAGCGAUUUCAUGAGGCCACCCUUCGACUCUGCUCGGUAUACAGCCUCUGACCUGGCUGGCCCAUUUUUCUUUUUUACUUUUAAUGAAUUUCUGUGCUCUUU
rnacentral:misc_RNA from 1 species